rnacentral:rRNA from 1 species
UACGUAGGGGGCAAGCGUUGUCCGGAAUCAUUGGGCGUAAAGAGCGUGUAGGCGGCCUGAUAAGUCGGUUGUGAAAGUCAAGGGCUCAACCCUUGAAUGCCGACCGAUACUGUCAGGCUAGAGUCCGGAAGAGGCGAGUGGAAUUCCUGGUGUAGCGGUGAAAUGCGCAGAUAUCAGGAGGAACACCGGUGGCGAAGGCGGAUCUCUGGGCCUUACCUGACGCUCAGGCACGAAAGCUAGGGGAGCGAACAGG